rnacentral:rRNA from 1 species
GUCGAACGGGACUGGGGGCAACUCCAGUUCAGUGGCAGACGGGUGCGUAACACGUGAGAAACUUGUCCAACGGCGGGGGAUAGCCGGCCCAACGGCCGGGUAAUACCGCAUACGAUCUUUCGGGGGCAUCCCUGGGAGAUGAAAGCCGCCGCAAGGUGGCACCGAUGGAGAGUCUCGCGGCCUAUCAGCUUGUUGGCGGGGUAACGGCCCACCAAGGCGACGACGGGUAGCUGGUCUGAGAGGAUGAUCAGCCACAUUGGGACUGAGACACGGCCCAGACUCCUACGGGAGGCAGCAGUGGGGAAUAUUGCGCAAUGGCCGAAAGGCUGACGCAGCGACGCCGCGUGUGGGAUGACGGCCUUCGGGUUGUAAACCACUGUCGGGAGGAACGAAUACCGGACGUCGAAUAGGCGAUCCGGGGUGACGGUACCUCCAAAGGAAGCACCGGCUAACUCCGUGCCAGCAGCCGCGGUAAUACGGAGGGUGCGAGCGUUGUCCGGAAUCACUGGGCGUAAAGGGCGCGUAGGCGGCUCAUUAAGUGGCUGGUGAAAUCCCGGGGCUCAACUCCGGGGCUGCCGGUCAGACUGGUGGGCUCGAGCACGGUAGAGGCGGAUGGAAUUCCCGGUGUAGCGGUGGAAUGCGUAGAGAUCGGGAAGAAUACCGGUGGCGAAGGCGUUCCGCUGGGCCGUUGCUGACGCUGAGGCGCGACAGCGUG